ACGUAGGUGGCAAGCGUUGUCCGGAAUUAUUGGGCGUAAAGCGCGCGCAGGCGGUCCUUUAAGUCUGAUGUGAAAGCCCACGGCUCAACCGUGGAGGGUCAUUCGAUACUGAUCGACUUGAAGGCAGGAGAGGGAAGCGGAAUUCCCGGUGUAGUGGUGAAAUGCGUAGAUAUCGGGAGGAACACCAGUGGCGAAGGCGGCUUCCUGGCCUGUUCUUGACGCUGAGGCGCGAAAGCUAGGGGAGCGAACGGGA
rnacentral:rRNA from 1 species